ensembl:lncRNA
AUGUAUCCUUGUAUUCGCUCCAGGAGGAUUUCCUGGGGUGCCUUCUCGCUCCCUGCUUGGGCGGAGAGAGCAACCCCAAACUUUCCAGGCGAGCUUUCAAUAGGCAGGGGGUUUGUCAGCACGGAUGGUGCCCCCAAGCGCUGCUGCAGGCAUGCCGGCGAAGCCCAGACCCCUUCCUUGCAGAAGAGUCGCUUCCAAGAGAAGCCGCGCUUUCCUCCCGCUUUCGGGAGACAGGCUGCAUUGAGGGGCUGCGGGGGGAAAUCGAGUGCCCUCGUGCAGUUCCCGGCGUGUUUGUUGUGUUUGUUGAUACGCCUUCCCUCCCUCCUUCCUUUUCCCUUCCAAUGCUGGGCUGUUCUAUCUUCGCUCCCAGGGGUAAUUUGCGUUCCUUUGGCAACGCUCCUUGGUGCAGCGGUGGCUGCUGCUGUUUCUGCUGCUGAAGGGAAGGAAGGCAGGCAGGCAAGGAGGGAAGGAAGGAGGCAAAAGGAAGGCAGGGCGAGGGGCUCCCUCUCCUCGCUCGCCUCUUCGCCGGACGAGGCGAGGGGCUGGACUUCAAGGAGGAGGAGGAGCAGAGGAAAGGAGAAAGCCGGGUCUCCCCCUCUGUGUGUGUGUGUGUGUGUCUUUCUCUCUCUGUCCCGAGAGCGAGCCCCGAGGGAAGCGUGCCAGGAGAGGGAAAAUCCCCCUUCAGCCCGGCUCCUCCUGCCCCAGGAAGAAGGGGUGUCUCCCGCCUCUGGAAAGCCCCCACCCCCCACCCCGGGCACCAGGACCUUUGCCUUGCCUCGUUUCAGGCUGAGGAGAAGCGCCCGCUUUGCGCGCAAAAGCAAAGCUUCCCGGGAUUCCGCGCCUGGCCCUUCUGUAGUUCUAAGUCGGGAGGGAAAACUCCUGCCAAAACUCCUGUGCCUCCCUACUGUAGACUCAUUGUAUUUUGGCGCCACUUCAACUGCCCUGCAGCCUGGGAGUUGUGGUUUGGUGAAGCACCAAACUUUGGCAGAAAAGGCUGUAUCAUUCUCAGUGUUGAGGCCGACACUGGGCUCGCUCCAUAGGCUAGUGCUUCACUCAGCAGAAGGCAUUGAAGAAUCCUCUGCUCUCCUAAGUGCUCUUGGACUUCAGCUCCCAGAAUCCCAGUUUCUGGGAAUUGAAGUCCAACACAUCCGGAAGACUUAG